rnacentral:rRNA from 1 species
GAUGAACGCUGGCGGCGUGCCUAAUACAUGCAAGUCGAGCGAACGGACGAGAAGCUUGCUUCUCUGAUGUUAGCGGCGGACGGGUGAGUAACACGUGGAUAACCUACCUAUAAGACUGGGAUAACUUCGGGAAACCGGAGCUAAUACCGGAUGAUAUUUUGAACCGCAUGGUUCAAAAGUGAAAGACGGUCUUGCUGUCACUUAUAGAUGGAUCCGCGCUGCAUUAGCUAGUUGGUAAGGUAACGGCUUACCAAGGCAACGAUGCAUAGCCGACCUGAGAGGGUGAUCGGCCACACUGGAACUGAGACACGGUCCAGACUCCUACAGGAGGCAGCAGUAGGGAAUCUUCCGCAAUGGGCGAGAGCCUGACCGAUCAACGCCGCGUGAGUGAUGAAGGUCUUCGGAUCGUAGAACUCUGUUAUUAGGGAAGAACAUAUGUGUGAGUAACUGUGCGCAUCUUGACGGUACCUAAUCAGAGAGCCACGGCUAAGUACGUGCCAUCAGCCGCGGUAAUACGUAGGUGGCAAGCGUUAUCCGGAAUUAUUGGGCGUACAGCGCGCGUAGCGGUUUUUUAGUCUGAUGUGAAAGCCCACGGCUCAACCGUAGAGGGUCAUUGGAAACUGGAAAACUUGAGUGCAGAAGAGGAAAGUGGAAUUCCAUGUGUAGCGGUGAAAUGCGCAGAGAUAUGGAGGAACACCAGUGGCGAAGGCGACUUUCUGGUCUGUAACUGACGCUGAUGUGCGAAAGCGUGGGGAUCAAACAGGAUUAGAUACCCUGGUAGUCCACGCCGUAAACGAUGAGUGCUAAGUGUUAGGGGGUUUCCGCCCCUUAGUGCUGCAGCUAACGCAUUAAGCACUCCGCCUGGGGAGUACGACCGCAAGGUUGAAGCUCAAAGGAAUUGACGGGGACCCGCACAAGCGGUGGAGCAUGUGGUUUAAUUCGAAGCAACGCGAAGAACCUUACCAAAUCUUGACAUCCUUUGACAACUCUAGAGAUAGAGCCUUCCCCUUCGGGGGACAAAGUGACAGGUGGUGCAUGGUUGUCGUCAGCUCGUGUCGUGAGAUGUUGGGUUAAGUCCCGCAACGAGCGCAACCCUUAAGCUUAGUUGCCAUCAUUAAGUUGGGCACUCUAAGUUGACUGCCGGUGACAAACCGGAGGAAGGUGGGGAUGACGUCAAAUCAUCAUGCCCCUUAUGAUUUGGGCUACACACGUGCUACAAUGGACAAUACAAAGGGCAGCGAAACCGCGAGGUCAAGCAAAUCCCAUAAAGUUGUUCUCAGUUCGGAUUGUAGUCUGCAACUCGACUACAUGAAGCUGGAAUCGCUAGUAAUCGUAGAUCAGCAUGCUACGGUGAAUACGUUCCCGGGUCU